UACAGAGGGUGCAAGCGUUAAUCGGAAUUAUUGGGCGUAAAGCGCACGUAGGCGGUUGUAUAAGUUAGCUGUGAAAUACCCGGGCGUUAACUUAGGGGUGGUCAGCUAAUACUGUAGAACUAGAGUAGAGUAGAGGAAGGCGGAAUUACCCGGUGUAGCGGUGAAAUAGCGUAGAUAUCGGGAGGAACAUCAGUGGCGAAGGACGGCCUUCUGGACGAAAUACUGACGCUGAGGAGCGAAAG
rnacentral:rRNA from 1 species